AAAGGCGUAAUGAAAGUGAAGGUUCGCCACGCGCGAACCGAGGGAGGAUGGACGGUCGAUCGUGGCCGUCCCGCACUCCCUGGGCGUCUCGUUCUCAUCGCGAGAAGAGGCGCACCAAGAGCGUACACGCUGGGACCCGAAAGAUGGUGAACUAUGCCUGGUCAGGACGAAGUCAGGGGAAACCCUGAUGGAGGUCCGUAGCGAUUCUGACGUGCAAAUCGAUCGUCGGAACUGGGUAUAGGGGCGAAAGACUAAUCGAACCAUCUAGUAGCUGGUUCCCUCCGAAGUUUCCCUCAGGAUAGCUGGCGCUCGCUUCUCGCGAGUCUCAUUCGGUAAAGCGAAUGAUUAGAGGCAUUGGGGUCGAAACGGCCUCAACCUAUUCUCAAACUUUAAAUGGGUGAGAUCUCCGGCUUGCUUGAACUGUGAAGCCGCGAGAUAUCGGAUCAGAGUGCCAAGUGGGCCACUUUUGGUAAGCAGAACUGGCGCUGUGGGAUGAACCAAACGCCGAGUUAAAGCGCCUAAAUCGACGCUUAUGGGA
rnacentral:rRNA from 4 species